GCUUGCCUGGGUCUGGAAUCCGUGAGAUACAACUCCAAACAGCAAGCCCCGAAAAUGUAAAGUAGUGCAGCGGAAAUGGAUGUAAAUGAUAGGAGUUUUGGUGUGUUUGUGAUGGAAGGAGUUUGUGGAGUAUCCCUCAGCUCAGAAGGCCUUCCCACUAUGGAAGGAAGCUAGAGGAAAGGGUAGAGAAAGUAAAGAGAAGAAGUGACUUAAGAGCAAUAGGGCUGGAAAAUAAUUUCUGCAGCAUUUCACUAUAACUCAAAAGUGCCUUUUACAAGGUAAUGGCCCUCAUAUUUAUAGAAGAAGAGGAGCCCUUAAUCUGACCCAAUUUCCCUUCAAAAGCAAAGACAAAUCAAACCAAAAAGCUAG
rnacentral:lncRNA from 1 species